AUUGAACGCUGGCGGCAGGCCUAACACAUGCAAGUCGAACGAGUGGCGGACGGGUGAGUAAUGUCUGGGAAACUGCCUGAUGGAGGGGGAUAACUACUGGAAACGGUAGCUAAUACCGCAUACCAUCAGAUGUGCCCAGAUGGGAUUAGCUAGUAGGUGGGGUAAAGGCUCACAGAGGCGACGAUCCCUAGCUGGUCUGAGAGGAUGACCAGGCAAACUGGAACGGAGACACGGUCCGGACUCCUAGGGGAGGCAGCAGGGGGGAAUAUUGCACAAUGGGCGCAAGCCUGAUUUAUCCAUGCUGCGUGUAUGAAGAAGGCCUUCGGGUUGUAAAGUACUUUCAGCGUGGAGGCGUUACCCGAAGAAGAAGCACCGGCUAACUCCGUGCCAGCAGCCGCGGUAAUAC
rnacentral:rRNA from 1 species